CUUUGCACAGGUUUUGAUAAAUCUCCCCCAAUGUUGUUUUUUUCAUACAGAGUACUGGGCCGCAAACAAGGUGCGAACCUCACCAAACACGGUCUUUUUAAAAGAAAUCUAAAGAAGGCUAUGCAAGUAAACCAGACACAUCAUAUGAUGCUAAUAGACAUUAAAUGAUGAUACAUCAGACAUACCGGUGGAUUGCGGCACCACAUACGCUGGAUACUGCUGCAUAUACUCCAUCUCCAUAUACAGAGAGUUGUUGAUCGGUGCACCCCGGGGGACACAGUACUUGGGCAGACUCUCUUUUUAGAUCGGUUCCUCUCAUGGUGCAGGUUAUAGGCACCGGAGCUGCAAUGUAACAUAGAACUGUUAGAACCUGGUUAAACAUCAGUGCACUUGAUAUUUGUCUUUCUACAUGGCUUAUCACCACCUACAGUGCUGACCUCACCACGAUUUAACAUCAUGAAGAUGGCUGGAAGAUGUCAUCAUGGCAGUUUGAAGAAGAAAAAGGAAAAAGAACACCACAAAGAAGAUGUCACCUGCAGCAAAACAAGGCACAGAGCUCUUGUCGGAACUUUGGACUAAGUCCCAGAUAUAUCAUAGGAUUGUAGAAACUUGCUGACUUGGCAAAGAGUGUGGCUACCAGUGUGGUAGAGGCUGGUACUUGAUAGCCACAAGCAGACCACAUGGAUAUAACAGCGUAAGGAGACCAUGCUAGCACAAAUGCUGUGCAGAUAACAAAUGACACCUGUGGAGUAGAAGAAAUACAUAUACAAUAUAGGUCAGUUUGGUGGCAAAAAAAGAAAAAUUGUCUUCUCACAUAAAAAUCGCUAUUUGCCCUAUUUUUCACUUGGGUUCUCCUGUUGGAUGUAAAAUAUGUGUGUAUGUAUGUAUGUUAUGCAUAGAUGUAAGUAGCUGUGGGCAUUUAUGUAUUAUAUUUAGAUGU